rnacentral:rRNA from 1 species
UGGCGACCGGCGCACGGGUGAGUAACGCGUAUCCAACCUGCCCUUUACUAUGGGGACAGCCCGUCGAAAGGCGGAUUAAUACCGUAUGUUGUCAUGUUGAUGCAUAUUUUCAUGACCAAAGGCUUCGGCCGGUAAAGGAUGGGGAUGCGUCUGAUUAGCUUGCCGGCGGGGUAACGGCCCACCGGGGCGACGAUCAGUAGGGGUUCUGAGAGGAAGGUCCCCCACAUUGGAACUGAGACACGGUCCAAACUCCUACGGAAGGCAGCAG